rnacentral:hammerhead_ribozyme from 1 species
GCACUACUGAAGAGUCCCAUUCAGGGACGAAACGGCUGUCCAGUGC